rnacentral:rRNA from 1 species
UAAACUAGGAUUAGAUACCCUAUUAUUUUAGAUGUAAGUUAUUACCUAGGUAAUAAUAGUUUUGUUCUUUAAACCUAAAGAAUUUGGCGGUGUUUUAGUCUUUUCAGAGGAACUUGCCCUUUAAUCGAUAAUCCUCGUUUUAUCUUUCUUGAAUUUAUUUGUAUGUAUAUCGCCGUUAUAAGUUUAUUUUUUAAGAAUAUUUACUUAAGAUUUUAUUUUAUUUUAUUUCAGGUCAAGGUGCAGCUUAUAUUUAAGUGGAGGUGAGUUACAAUAUUAUUUUAAUAUAUGGAAAUAAUUUUUAUAAUAUUAUUGAAGGUGGAUUUGUUAGUAAUAUUAAUUAUAAAGUUGAUAUGAUUUUGGCUCUAAAAUGAGUACACAUCG